AUACCAACUCCUGAUUUCUUCAAGCAAACACUGGUCGCAGCAGUCUUCUCUUUGUUCACAAGCUGGCACACCUCUCCGGUUGCAGUGGAUACUAUAUUCUCGAUGCCUAGAUCUUUCCUAGCUUCUAUGCUGAAAUAGCUGUGAAUGGCUGUCUUCUUUAUUAAAAUGUAUCUUUUCAUAUUCGUGUUCUUUUUGUGUAACCUUUUUGUGAUCUAUAGAAUUGAUGAUUUGAGAUUGCAGGUGUUUUUGAUGUGCACCUGCAGUGGUAAUUAAAUCGAGCUCACUGGUGCUUAAAUUUGUUUAAGCACAUUCUAGUAUACUCCACUACCCCAAACCUUGUCACCCAUAGACUGGAGCUUUGUAAAGCAUUACCUCAUUCCUUAAAUAGACAGACUGCAACAAAGUCACAGCAUCAGGUGUUCCGAGGAGAAGAUUGUUUGAACCUGCACAUUUGAUUUUAAAAUUGAUUCAUAUUUUUUAGACUUAGCUUUAGAAUAGUGUGACAUCUUUUGUUGUUAAAAUAGAAAUACAGUUAUGAGAGUUACUGAAAAAUCAAGGUUAUGCUACUGAAUACAAAGAAAAAUAUGGAUACUUGGUGAGCCCUCAGGGAUCUGAGCCUUCUGCUGUGGCUAAGUUAAUGUCUUAUGUUUUUUUCACCAUUGACUUGGGUGUAUUUCAGACUCCUGUAGCGGUUUUAUCGACUUGGUGGGUUCCUGUAUUUAUAAAGAUGCAUAGAACCAUUCUGUAUUGGUUUACAUUGUUUAGCUUUGUUGAGCUAUGGCAGACUCCUGUAGCAUUUUAAUCACCUUAAUGGAGUCCUAUAUCUUUGUCUUAGGGUUUUAUUGCCAAGUUCUGAUGCUUGCUGGGGCUGGAACAUGGACCCCUUAUUCAAAACAUUUUUACCAUGGUUUCCUUUACUACUCAAUCUUGUCUGCCCUGGAACUUGGUGUAUAGGUCAUGAUGGCCUUGAACUCAGAGCUCUGCCUGCCUCUGCCUUCUUAGUGCUGGUGUUAAAGGUGUGCACUACUAUGCCUGCCCCUAUACUUUUCACAAGUCAAAAGCUUGAUUGGAUGGAGUCUUGCCCUGAGGUCACCACUCCCUAUAUUACAUUUAGAAUUAGGCUUUUUAAACUUCAUCUCCUUGAGCACAAGGACCAUUACACUUCCUGGUGCCCCUUUUGUCUUCAGACUGUUCCCUUUGUAUAUUUUCCUUGCUCACCUCUUUCCUUUUUUUGUUAUAGAUCUGUAUAAAAUGGGCCACUGAUAACCACACAGUUAAAGUAGGGUAUUUUUGAAAUCUCUGCCAAAGCUGUUAAUCUAUAACCUUCCAAUUUAGCCUCAGGCAGAUUUUUGGACAAGGGUAGAAAGCAGCUACAAUCUUCACCAAAAUACCAAAGGCGUAUUCUCUAGCCCACAUACUAAUAAACUUCUCUGGAACCACUCGAGCCAGCCCCCCACCCCCGCCCCCAUUAACCUACUGUUUUCUAUGCUCCUAUUAGUAUGGCUCAUUAAAACCUUAAAGAACGGGGUUGGGGAUUUAGCUCAGUGGUAGAGCGCUUAGGCCCUGGGUUCGGUCCCCAGCUCCAAAAAAAAAGAAAAGGGAAAAAAAAAAAAAAACCUUAAAGAACACAUUCCUAAACCAGAGUGCCAAAACACCAUGGCCAAGUCAACUCUUAUGAAGGAAAACGUGAAUUGGGGCUGGCUUAUGGAUUCAGAGGUUUAGUCCACUGUCGUCGUGGGAAGCACGUGGGAAGCACGGCAGCGUGCAGGCAGAGCGCUGAGAGAGGUAGCUGAGAAUUCUGCAUCUGGAUCAGCAGGCAGCAGAAAGAAAGAGAUACUGGGCCAGGCUUGAGCAUUUGAAGCUUCUAAGCCCACCCCCAGUGACACACUUCCCCCAGGAAGGCCACACCUCCUAAUAAUGCUACCUCCUAUGGGCCUCAUUCAAAUCAUUGAAUUUUGUAAUUGAUUAUUUAUAUAGUGUUGCUCAUAACACAGGAAAAAUUUUAACUAAGAAUGAUUGACAAGGGCAGUUGAUGGGACUAGUUUGAGGCAGAAGCCAAGAAAAAAGGCUUGAAUUUUAGAAGUGUUCUUGUUCUUCAUAUCUUAAAUUCUGUCAUAUUUUGUUUGAUUUUAAACCUUAUUGCAUUGCCCAUGAAGGUAAUGAGUGCUUGGAGGACAAGGGCCCUCUGCAUAUACCCUGGAAUAUUCUUUAAGAUUCCAGGACAGGCGCAGUUAGCAUACCACAGCUCCAAUCCCUACCCUACCUGCCAAUUUGUUCUAGGGAUUUAGGUAGAACAGUUUAGGUCAUUUCUUUUAUGUGCUGCUAUGAAUUCAUUAUUUUGUUGCUAUAACAAAAUAAUCAAAGAUUAGUAAUUAUGAAGAAAACAAAAUUAUUUGCUUUUUGAUUUUGGAGGUCUAAGAAAUGAAAGGGCCCACCUUUGUCCCAUGGUUUACUUACCAGUGUAUGGAAGUUUUCACUCUGGUUUUGGUACAGACAAACUGUAGAAGUAGCAUUUUGCUGAGACAGCAGCCUUAGCUUUUUGGGUUUUGUACUUUUUCCUUCAUCAUCCUGGUCGUUUCUGUCUUUUUGUUUUAAAAGUGAACUUUCUGGUAAAGUGUAAGUUUUACAAAACUGAAACUCAGUAAUUAUAAAGUGAAUACAUCCCUAAUACUAAGACUAAAGUGUGACCAGUGUAAAAAAGGUUUCUUGUGCCUUCUCAAUUGCUUUCCCCGUGAUGAUUACCAUUAUCUUAUGAAUUUAUUUUUAUAAAUAAAUGUAGAAUCAUGCAGUGUAUACUUGGGUUUUAUUUUGUUUCUGUUUUUUAUAUCUCACUGGUGAUUAAGCCCAGGGCCUUGAACAUGCUGAGUAAGCAGUAUACCACACUGAGGUGUGCUCUGGCAUCAUGCUCCAGCUGCUUAAAACGAACAGUGGGCUUUAUCUGUGUUGUAAUAUGUAGUACCAAGUAGCGCAUUCCUUAUGGAAUGUGGUACUUCUUCAUUAUACAACUAUAUCAUGACUUAUCCAGUGUGGUGUUAGUUAUGAAAGGACAUUCUGCUUCAAAAGAAAAAGAAAGGAAAAGGGAAAAUUUCUAAAUGCUGAAAGAACAUGGAGUUGAGGAGGAGUUAUUAGCAGGAAGAAUAUCACCAAAAAACACGUAUGAAAUUCUCAAAUAAGUAAAAACAUUAAAAAAAAUACUGCCUUGAAUGUUUUUAUGUCUUAUGGUAUACAUGCGUUUAUGCUUUUAUGGCAAAUGGCCAAGGUGAGAAGUUACUUAAGUUAUUACAGAAGGGAUACCACAUUUGAUUUACCACACAGCUCUCAAGUUUUCCAGCAUGGUUGUGCCAUGUGCACCCUUCCGACAGCUUGGUAUUGAUGCCACUGUGGAUAUUACGAAGGCUGUACGCUGAGGCAGGAAAGAGCUCCUGAGGACAGCUCCUGCUGAGGCAGGAGCAGAGAUGCGCACCACCGUGGACAGCUCCUGUGAGACCAGUGGGCGAGGAGGUGCUCCACCGUGGACAGCUCCCAACGCUAUAGGUUGAAGAUGUUGAGAUGCCCUCACUUGACAGAAACUGCCAUUUCAACAGCUCCUGUGGGGCUUCUUACAGCCGCUGUGGGGUGGCCCGGGGUGGAAAGGAGGGGCCAGCCGCUGAUUUGACCGCCUUUGAGGCGCACCGCUCAGGGAUUACAAAGAUGACAGAUUCUGGAGUUUCCUGUUUAAGCAUAAGUUACUGUGUUGUGCUUUAUAAAGAUCUCUUUCAAUUUAGUUUUUUACAUGAUCGCAUUUUAGUCUGAUCACAUCAAUUCUUCACUCUCCCCUCCAACUCCCAAUUCUCUUCCCCAUAUCAGCUUCCCGCUGUCAUGAUACUUGCUGAGUCAAAUCAGUCAAAUCAUACAUUGCUGUAGGGCUGUGCAGUGAAGCACGGUUAACUAAAUCAGGGUCCCUAGCCCUGAAGAAACCUGACUGUCCCCUAGCCUCCAUGCAGCAUCUCGCAUAGGAGUGCAGCUUUGUGUAGCAUCCGUAGUUGUUGAGAAUCCAUGAGCGCACCUGUCUGUCGUGUUCAGAGGACGCUGGAUGGGUGCCACCUGGGGAUGACUUAGUCUCUACUCUUGAUCACUGUCCGUCUUCUGUAAUAGUUCCAUCCACUGCCAAAAGGAGCUUCUCUGAGGAGGGUAAGCUCUGGACUGGCCUGUGGGUUAGAGAUAAGCAUUUAGGAGGCAGUUAGAUAUUACAUCAGUGUAACAAAAGGGUGGUGGUAGAUUUCUUUCUAGCUACAGCUUCAUGGCCAAAUUUACAGUAUGGGUCAUCAGUUUCCUGUUGUUGAAGCAGACCUUAAAUCUAACAUGCAUACCCAGAUAAAAGCAAUUUGAAGAAGAAAAGGUUUACUUAAGUCUAUGGUUCUAGAUGAAUAGAGUCCAUUAUGGUAGGUAAGGUGUGGCCACUAAAAGAAAGCAUGGUCAAUUAUGGUUUUAGCUGCACGCAGGAAGCUGGGGUAGACUGCACCUCUUGAAUCUAAAGAGGCACCUCCUUUAGUUUUGGGAGGUGUUUGAAGGUCUGUCCUGCGCCUGUGAUCUGGAGUUGUUCUCAUUUGUCUGUGCCCAUGAUUGUUGCCGCAUACUCGGCGCUUCUCUCCUGGGCUCACUCAGGCCCGGGUGAUCGCUCGGGUGGUCGCUCUCUCGCUAGUUCUGGCUCGGUCGGGCCUUAGGGAUGAGCGCUGAUUUAUCUCAGCAGCUCCACGCUACCCCCAAGUACUUUCUGACCUGGGCAGUCGGUGAGCUGUUCCAGCGUGGCACCUUGCCACUCUGGGCUCUAGUGUUAGCUCUGGCCCUGAUGGGGCCAGAUGGAACUAACCAUAAUUUAUAUCU